AUGGCAGUCCUUAGCUCACUGUGGGCAGUUGUGAUCACCACCUGUCUAGGAGCCAGCAUGGCUCAGACAGUGUCUCAGCCUCAGAAGAAAAAGUCUGUGCAGGUGGCAGAGUCGGCAACCCUGGACUGCACCUAUGACACAAGUGAUACUAAUUACCUCUUGUUCUGGUACAAACAGCAAGGAGGGCAGGUGACUCUCGUCAUUCUCCAAGAAGCAUACAAGCAGUAUAAUGCAACGUUAAACCGCUUCUCUGUGAACUUCCAGAAAGCAGCUAAGUCCUUCAGCCUGGAGAUCUCCGACUCGCAGCUGGGGGAUGCUGCGACGUAUUUCUGUGCACUCAGGGGGAGC